rnacentral:rRNA from 1 species
AGCGGUUUUCCUUAAUAGAACAGAGAUUAAAUGCAGUCGAACGGAGCGCAAAAACUUGCUCUCUUGGCGGCGAGUGGCGGACCUUUUAUUAUCAUCCGAACGUGCCCAGUAGCGGGGGAUAACUACUCGAAAGAGUGGCUAAUACCGCAACGCCCUACGGGGGAAAGGGGGGGAUCGCCGACCUCUCACUAUUGGAGCGGCCGAUAUCGGAUUAGCUAGUUGGUGGGGUAAAGGCUCACCAAGGCCACGAUCCGUAUCUGGUUUGAGAGGACCACCAGCCACACUGGGACUGAACCACGGCCCAAACUCCCACGGGAGGCAGCGGUGGGGAAUUUUGGACAACGGGGGAAACCCUGAUCCCCCCAUCCCGCGUGUAUGAUGAAGGCCUUCGGGUUUUAAUUUACUUUUGGCAAAAAAAAAAAGGUAACCCCUAAUACGGGAUACUGCUGACGGUAUCUGCAGAAUAAGCACCGGCUUCCUACGUGCCAGCACCCGCAGUAAUACG